rnacentral:lncRNA from 1 species
GUUGCUUGCAAAAUAGCCUUCAUAAUGAGGCUUUUGGGGUUUUUGUAGAAGUUCUUCGUGAGGGGUCCUUGGUUCCUGAUCAAGUGAGCAUUUCUAGUGUUUUAAGUGCUUGUGCUAAUAUGGGUGCUGGUUUGAAUGGUGGGAGACAAGUUCACGGAGUUGUUGUGAAACAUAGGUUGGUGUCUUUAGCCUAUGUGAGGAACUCUUUAAUGGACAUGUAUUUCAAGUGUGGGUGCUUUGAUGAUGGUUUUAAGUUGUGUGGCGCUUUAGAGGACAGAGAUGUUGUUACUUGGAAUAUAAUGAUCAUGGGGUGUGUUGAAAAUGACAACUUUGAGGAGGCUUGCAACCACUUUUGGGUGAUGAGGCGCGAAGGAGUUUCACCUGACGAGGCAUCAUUUUCCUCUGUACUUCAUGCUGCUGCUUGUAUUGCAGCACUGGAUCAGGGUACUUUGAUACAUAGUCAGAUGGUAAAGGCUGGCUUUGACAGAAAUACGUGUGUUGCGAGCUCAUUGAUAACUUUGUAUGCUAAAUGUGGAA